UGUAGUUUCCGCACACAUCCGAACGACUUGGGAAAGGACGAAAAGUCUGGAAGGUUUACGGAUUUGAAUCGACUCGAAAACGAAGGGACUUCAAUCGAUCACAACUUUUGACCCGUAUCGCGUCGUUGACGUUCAAAAAGGGAUGAGAAACUUCUUAUCCCACUUAACCGAGUUAAUAAUAUAAUCGUCCUCGGAGGCCCGUACAUACAGAAUGAUCUACAUAAUAAAAGACACUCAUUAUCUCGGAAAGCAUUAACUUUUUUCGGAA